UGGGGCAUAGCCAAGUGGUAAGGCAUCAGACUUUGACUCUGACAUUUCCCUGGUUCAAAUCCAGGUGCCCCAGCCA
rnacentral:tRNA from 1 species